AUACGGAAGGUCCGGGCGUUAUCCGGACUUAUUGGGUUUAAAGGGAGCGCAGGCGGAGAUGCAAGCGUGACGUCAAAUUUCGGGGCUCAACCCCGUCUCGCGUUGCGAACUGCGUCCCUUGGUUGCGGGAAGGGGAGGCGGAACUCGUGGUGUAGCGGUGAAAUGCAUAGAUAUCACGAAGAACUCCGAUCGCGAAGGCAGCCUUCCGGCCCGUCAACGACGCUCAUGCUCGAAGGUGCGGGUAUCAAACAGGAUUAGAUACCCUGGUAGUCCGCACAGUAAACGAUGGACACCCGCGGUUUGGCCUGUAUGGCUGAGCCGCCAAGCGAAAGCGUUAAGUGUCCCACCUGGGGAGUACGGCCGCAAGGUUAAAACUCAAAGGAAUUGACGGGG
rnacentral:rRNA from 1 species